GACGAACGCUGGCGGCGUGCUUAACACAUGCAAGUCGAGCGGUAAGGCCCUUUCGGGGGUACACGAGCGGCGAACGGGUGAGUAACACGUGGGUGACCUGCCCUCAGCUCUGGGAUAAGCCUGGGAAACCGGGUCUAAUACUGGAUAUGACUCCAUGACGCAUGUUGUGGGGUGGAAAGCCUUGUGCGGCUGAGGAUGGGCCCGCGGCCUAUCAGCUUGUUGGUGGGGUGAGGCCUA
rnacentral:rRNA from 1 species